CUCCUCAAAAAGCAUCCAAGAUGCUAAGGCAUAUAGGGAAGGACUUGGACCACAGGAAAAAAGUGUGAUAUUUCGAAAAAUUAGGGUUUAAUGGCGGUGCAGAUCCCUACGAGUUGGCUCCCUCUUCUUGGAUCCAUGGUGAUUCUUCCUUCAGUUGCAUAUCCCGAUAUCGUUAACUGGUUUUCUCACCGAGCCCAUGCACAGCGGAAGACCUUAAAUCCUACAAUGGUUUGGAGGCCUAUAACCAGAUGGUGUGUGGAUGGGUGAGGGAGUGGCAGUACCAAGUCAUCAACGACCGUUGUGUUGUGAAAGCGAGAACAAUUGCAGUAGCAUCAGUGAUUGUCUGCCACCCAGUGGUUAAACAUAGAAAUCCAGUCCCUCAAUGUUAUAUUUCAAAGGAUUUUUCCAACCUGAAGUGAAACCAGAGGGACCUCAAUCUUCAUUCAUUUGGUGUGCCAAAUCCCUCAAAACAAAGACACACUGUAGCCUACACCGGGUUGCCCUUUUUACCCUAUUUACCCUCAUGCUGUUUUAGAAAUGACUCCAUUAUUGCAAUAGGGUAAUUUAUAUGACAAUUUAUUUGAUAAUUCCUGCCAUCACAUGAUGUCUUACACUACCGUUCAAAGGUUUGGGGUUUCUUAGAAAUGUCCUUAUUUUUGAAAGAAAAGCACUGUUUAAAUUAAUCAGAAAUACAGUCUAGACAUUGUUAAUGUGGUAAAUGACUAUUCUAGCUGGAAAUGGCUGAUUUUAAUGGAAUAUCCAGAGCCUUACAGAUAGAUAUAUAUCUCUAGGACUCUGGCACCACUUCUACUUCGGAGGUUCUUGAAGGAUGGCUGCUUUACCUGGAAGGAAGGAUGGCUUUACCAGCGGGACUCAUCGUCAGUUGUGUACCUCAGCAUCACAGGGUGUUUCGGCCAAUUAUCACAAUACACCCUCUGCUGAGGCAGGCCCACCACAGGUUGAUUAAGUGUGUGACCCGCAGUUAGCUGUUUGCCUUAGAAGCCCAGGUGGUGUCGCUCCUCUUCAGCCACAGCCAAUGGCUUGUCCUCUCGGCGGUGUUGGCCAGCUCUUUGAUGGCUUGAAUAAGAGCCAGUACAACACCAGUGUUCGAUUCCCCAAUUCAUUAUUAAGGCUUUUUAGCCUUUAGUCAAUAAUGAACAGAUGAUAGGAGAUGAGUGGGAGGAAGAUGGGGGGAGGGUUUGUGAAAUUACCUCAUGUCGAACUACUGGCUCCUGGAUGUGAAGUCAGGUCUUCCAGAAAUAACAUUUUUUUCUUUAAUCAAGUAGAAAUAAGAUAUUUUGCAGAAUAAUCUUGAAUUGUUAUUUUUACUAAUCUGAUGAUUUUCAUGUUUUCAGUAAUCUUGAAUUGUUAGUUUUACUAAUCUGGAGAUUUUCAUGUUUUCAGUAACUCGGAAUUGGCAUUGAGAUAAUUUAUUCAUAAUGAAAAUAAUUCAGUAAUAUCCACCAUAAAUGUUUGAACUAGAAAAUUGUUGUAAAACGAAUCAACAGUGUUGUAUGUCAACAGCAGCCCACGAGUAGAUCAUGCCAUUGGUGCAUAAGAAAAAUCUACACAAGAUUUCUAUUUCUAUUUCUACGUAUUGGCUACAUUUAAUAUAACACACAUAUAGCACAUGUCUAAUGUCCUCAUCCUCAUGUCACAAAUACAUGUAAAUGCAUAUGAAUACAACCUUUCAACCAAGCAUGGUUAAAACAAUGGAGGUAGAUGAAUAGCAUACAAUUAGAGGUGGAGGAUUAGGCCGAGUAGUACUUAGAUUAAAUUGAAGAGAGCACCUAACUUUUGGAAUAACUUUGACAUUAAAGUGAGUGCUGAUGAAUUUACAUAUGCAUGGACUUAUUCCUGAACCCACAAAUGUAUCUUAAGUUACUGUGCAGUGCUGUACAGUAGUAUAGUGUAUAGAAUAGUGCAGUAGUGAUCGCCGACAAUGAUGAGUAUAGUCCAGUGAAGAAUAUUACACUAUAUAGUGUAUAAUAAGUCCCUUUUCUAGGUUCUUUUUCUGGCUGUUAGAGAAUGUUGGGAUAGAUCUCUCCCUCUCAUGAUUGGGUCACUUCCUGGCUCUCACUCCUGUUCUUACUCACUGACCCUUAAAACACAAAUGUGUGUGUGUGUGUGUGUGUGUGUAUGUGUGACAGUUCAUAUAAUAUUAUACACCUCUGUUUUGUUGUAUGAGAUGCUGACACUUCUCUUGCUUGGAGCCAUGUUUCUUCUCCCGUGUGUGUAAUUGUAAUGUGUCAGGAGUAGUCACGGCGAUGCAGCGUCACCUGCUCCAGAGCAGCUCUCCGCCUUUCCCAGAAUUCCCUCGGAGGGGGGUACUGUCAAAGCCACCCGCAGGGUGAUUUCAUCAGGUCACAACAUUUUCAUAUGGCAGGCGAGGAAACGGAGAGGUCAAGAAUGAGGAGACGUGUUUCUGCGUGUGUGUAUGUGUGUGUGUGUGUGUGUGUGUGUGUGUAUGUGUAUGUGUGUGUGU